rnacentral:rRNA from 1 species
GACGAACGCUGGCGGCGUGCCUAACACAUGCAAGUCGAGCGAGGGCAGGCUUCGGCCUGACCCGAGCGGCGGACGGGUGAGUAACACGUGAGUAAUCUGUCUCUGUGCGGGGGACAACCCGGGGAAACUCGGGCUAAUACCGCAUGGGCGGUGUCCAGGAUCUGGGUGCCGGGAAAGGUGGCCUCUUAACAAUGCUGCCGUGCAGAGAGGAGCCCGCGGGCUAUCAGCUAAUUGGCAGGGUAACGGCCUACCAAGGCGACGACGGCUACGGGGUCUGAGAGGACGACCCCGCACAUUGGAACUGAGACACGGUCCAGACUCCUACGGGAGGCAGCAGUGGGGAAUAUUGGGCAAUGGCCGAAAGGCUGACCCAGCGACGCCGCGUGCGGGAGGAAGCCCUUCGGGGUGUAAACCGCUGUCAGGGGGGACGAAUGACUCCGUGGGGAAUACGUCGCGGGGAGUGACGGUACCCCCAAAGGAAGCACCGGCUAACUCUGUGCCAGCAGCCGCGGUAAUACAGGA